CUCAGAAUCAACGCUGGCGGCAUGCCUAACACAUGCAAGUCGAACGCGAAAGUCCUUCGGGAUGAGUAGAGUGGCGUACGGGUGAGUAACGCGUGGGUGAUCUUCCUUCGGGUGGGGAAUAACUCAGGGAAACUUGAGCUAAUACCGCAUAAUACGGAAACGUUAAAGCAGCAAUGCGCCUGAAGAUGAGCCUGCGUCUGAUUAGCUAGUUGGUGGGGUAAUGGCCCACCAAGGCGACGAUCAGUAGCCGACCUGAGAGGGUGGUCGGCCACACUGGCACUGAAAUACGGGCCAGACUCCUACGGGAGGCAGCAGUGAGGAAUUUUGGGCAAUGGGCGAAAGCCUGACCCAGCAAUGCCGCGUGAACGAUGAAGUCUUUCGGGAUGUAAAGUUCGUAAGCAGGAGAAGAAUACAAUGACGGUAUCCUGUGUAAGCCCCGGCUAACUCCGUGCCAGCAGCCGCGGUAAUACGGGGGGGGCAAGCGUUGUUCGGAAUUACUGGGCGUAAAGGGCGUGUAGGCGGCAAGGAAAGUCAGACGUGAAAUCUCGGGGCUUAACCUCGAAACUGCGCCUGAUACUUCCAUGCUAUGAGUGCGGAAGAGGCAACCGGAAUUCCUGGUGUAGCGGUGAAAUGCGUAGAUAUCAGGAGGAACUCCAGUGGCGAAGGCGGGUUGCUGGGCCGACACUGACGCUGAGGCGCGAAAGCUAGGGGAGCAAACGGGAUUAGAUACCCCGGUAGUCCUAGCCCUAAACGAUGAUUACUUGGUGUGCAGGUUACACGGUACCUGCGUGCCGGAGCUAACGCGAUAAGUAAUCCGCCUGGGGAGUAUGAUC
rnacentral:rRNA from 1 species